UAGGCGAAAAGGUCUACGAUGACCUUGUUGAUAGGUUUUGUCUAGGCGGGACGAGGUGGAAGACGAGGGGGAGGCCGAUGCCGCCGCGACUAGAGGCUCUAGAGAUCGAACGCUUAGGUCCCACGCGGCGGUACCGGCUCGUGGAGCGCAGCUAGAAGCCGUGCCUCUUCCUGGCGCACUUGACGGGCAAGAUGAAGUUCUAGCCGCGCACGGCCGUGCCGCUGGCGACGAGGGCGGACGUGUUGUUCGGCAGACAGAGCGGGUGCGACGACGAGACGUUGUACAUGGUCGCGGGGCUGUACUAGUGGGGCCCGCACCUGCGCGUCCCGUUGGGGUAGCUGGGGCAGUUCUAGGUCCCGCUGAAGCUCCUGAAGAUGCUCCUGUAGAAGCUGCUCGAGUCGUUCGUGCCGCUCCAGCUCUUGGACGUGCAGACGCUGUUGGAGCGGCUGGUGGAGUAACCGUUGCAGAUGCACGUCAAGUCCCUCCUCCUGGUCCGGCGGUUCCGGGAGGUCCGCGACGUCCCCUCCAAGAUGAGCCCGGCGGGGUAGUAACGACUCAAGAGCGGGCAGUGGCUGAAGUCCCUCCGGUGGACGGCCGUCAAACUCCUCGUGUUGACGUUGGCGCCUCCCAUGACGUUGAAGUACGUACAGUUCCUCUAUCCGUCCCUGGACUCCUUCUCCGACAUACCCGUGGACGUAUCCAGGCCCUCCUCGGUGUCGUCCUCGUCGGCCUCGGGCUCGGGGAUGGCAGUGGUACGGUCCCUGGCACUAGCGAGGAGUGCCAGAUCCCUGGCGCCGCUGAUGAUACCUCCAUCGAACCUGGCACCGCUGAUACCACUGAUGAUGGUGGUAUCGGCCUCCUCGUCGCUCUCCUUGGCGUUGAUACUGUCACUACCCUCGUCCACGGCCGCUGUGUCCAGGUCCUGAUCCUCGGGGCAGUCCCUCCCGUCGCUCCUCUCCUCCCGCUUCUAACUCGUCACCUUGGCACUUUCCCUCCGCGGACGGUCCGUCCCGUCGCUUCUCUCCUCCCGCUUCUAGCUAGUCACCUUGGCACUCUCCCUCUGACGAGUCCGCACUCUAGAGGACAGACUGACGUCCAACUUCACAACGGAACAAGUGGCCUACAAGACGAACGAACAGACUAGCACAUUACCAUCUACCUCAAUCUUAAACCAGGAUCACUUGAACGAACCUACGGACUACAUUGUAGAAGUCACAACAAGAACAACUUGAAGGAGAUACCUAAACAACUACCUUGUAUAAACCACAACCUGAACAAUAACAAUACUAAUAAUAUCACACAAGGGA
rnacentral:rRNA from 1 species